rnacentral:rRNA from 1 species
GACGAACGCUGGCGGCGUGCUUAACACAUGCAAGUCGAACGGAAAGGCCCUGCUUUUGUGGGGUGCUCGAGUGGCGAACGGGUGAGUAACACGUGAGUAACCUGCCCUUGACUUUGGGAUAACUUCAGGAAACUGGGGCUAAUACCGGAUAGGAGCUCCUGCUGCAUGGUGGGGGUUGGAAAGUUUCGGCGGUUGGGGAUGGACUCGCGGCUUAUCAGCUUGUUGGUGGGGUAGUGGCUUACCAAGGCUUUGACGGGUAGCCGGCCUGAGGGGGUGACCGGGCAUCAUGGGUACUGAGAGAGGGCGCAGACGCGAAGGUGGGGAAGAGGGGGGAAUGAUUGCAGAGGGGGGGGACGUGUGAGGCACAGGCCCGGGGGGCGGGAGGACGGCUUGGGGGGUAAAAACAGCUUUCGCCGGGGACGAAGAGGAGGUGACGGUAAUGGGAAAAGAAGCACCGGCUAACUACGUG